UUGGCCUACGGGACGCAGCAGUAGGGAAUCUUCCACAAUGGGCGAAAGCCUGAUGGAGCAACGCCGCGUGGGGGAAGAAGGUCUUCGGAUCGUAAAACCCUGUUGUUAGAGAAGAAAGUGCGUGAGAGUAACUGUUCACGUUUCGACGGUAUCUAACCAGAAAGCCACGGCUAACUACGUGCCAGCAGCCGCGGUAAUACGUAGGUGGCAAGCGUUAUCCGGAUGUAUUGGGAGUAAAGGGAACGCAGGCGGUGUUUUAAGUAUGAUGU
rnacentral:rRNA from 1 species